AUACAGCAAGAGCAGAUGGUGAGAGUUUUCAAAGGCAUUUGAAACUUAGGCUGAACUAAUGUCCUCGGGAGUUUGGUUCAGAGUGGAAACUUUUUUUCUACUUGGGAAUUAUUUCAGCAUUCAGUCGGAUCAGUGGAACUCACAGCAUAGAUGAAUGCUACAACAUUUUUGCUACUUUACUGGAUUUUCCUGUCUCUCCUGGUCUUCUGUUCAGCUGCUUCUGGAGAACAGAAAAACAUCACAGCUGAGUCUGGACAGGACGUCAUUCUGACAUGUCGAGCUGCAAACAACAACAACAUAUUUGUGGAGUGGAGAAGAGUUGACCUGGAUGAGUAUGUCCUUUUGUACGGAGAUGACGGGUCUGUACUUGAAGACCAGCAUCCAUCUUUUAAGAACCGGGUGGACCUGCAGGAUAGACAGAUGAAGGAUGGAGACGUGUCUUUGAUUCUGAAGAAUGUGAUGACUGCUGACAGUGGAACAUAUGAGUGUCGUGUCAUCCAGAGAGGACACAGUCACAAGAAGACUGUCAUUAAGAACAAGCCUAUCUGUAUCAUGGACCUGAGUGUUGAUCCUCCAGGUCAAUCAAGAAGAAAUGAAGAAGAUGGAUCUAUUGGAUGGAAAGUUGCUCUGUCAAUUUUCUGUCUACUUCUUGUUGCUGCUGUUGCUGUUUUUAUGUACAGAAAAUGUUAACAACAACAGAGUCGGGAUUCAGAGCAAGCUCCUGUUUAAAGAAAUGAUGU
ensembl:lncRNA